UUACCUUUACGGAUUAAAAUGAAACAGUAUAAAACUUACCUCAACUAUCACCAAUUUAGAUUUGACUACCUAACGUUUAAAAAUUUUUAUUUUAUUAUUUGACCUUUGAAUUUAUUUGAUUUGAGCCAAUUAGUGAAUUUUUAACUUCAAAAUAUGAACACGUCAUUUAUCCUUACGGGUUUAGUUAGUAUAUUUUAUGCAACUUGCAUAAAUAUAAAUUUAUUAAAGCAAGCAAUUAGCUUAAAUUUUGUAUCCGAAAAACU
rnacentral:lncRNA from 1 species